rnacentral:rRNA from 1 species
UACGGGGGGAGCAAGCGUUGUUCGGAUUUACUGGGCGUAAAGGGCGCGUAGGCGGUCGUGACAAGUCACUUGUGAAAUCCCCGGGCUUAACCUGGGAACUGCAUUUGUGACUGCAUGGCUGGAGUGCGGCAGAGGGGGGAUGGAAUUCCGCGUGUAGCGGUGAAAUGCGCAGAUAUCAGGAGGAACACCGGUGGCGAAGGCGGGUCUCUGGGCCGAUACUGACGCUGAGGAGCGAAAGCGUGGGGGAGCGAACAGG